GUUGAACGCUGGCGGCGUGCCUAAUACAUGCAAGUCGAGCGAACAGACGAGGAGCUUGCCCCUCUGACGUUAGCGGCGGAUGGGUGAGUAACACGUGGAUAACCUAUCUAUAAGACUGGGAUAACUUCGGGAAACCGGAGCCAAUACCGGAUAAUAUAUUGAACCGCAUGGUUCAAUAGUGAAAGACGGUUUUGCUGUCACUUAUAGGUGGAUCCGCGCCGCAUUAGCUAGUUGGUAAGGUAACGGCUUACCAAGGCGACGAUGCGUAGCCGAUCUGAGAGGAUGAUCAGCCACACUGGAACUGAGACACGGUCCAGACUCCUACGGGAGGCAGCAGUAGGGAAUCUUCCGCAAUGGGCGAAAGCCUGACGGAGCAACGCCGCGUGAGUGAUGAAGGUCUUCGGAUCGUAAAACUCUGUUAUUAGGGAAGAACAAAUGUGUAAGUAACUAUGCACGUCUUGACGGUACCUAAUCAGAAAGCCACGGCUAACUACGUG
rnacentral:rRNA from 1 species